rnacentral:lncRNA from 1 species
AUUUAAUAUACUGUAAACUGUUUAUGUUUAUAUCUUGGUCGUUAAUGUUGUAUACAAUGAUUAACAAUAUAUACUUAUUAUUAUUAUUGUUAUUAUCAUAGUUAUUAUUAUUAUUUGUUAUCAAAUACCGACUAUAAAUGAAAAUACGCGACACUCGUGGUCAAAACGCGAGACUAUCAAUCGCCCCACAAAAACCAAACGGUUGCCUGUAUAAACCUGGGAAAUCUGUUAAUAAAUUUGCUUAAUAUAGUAAAAAAAAAACAUUUAAACAUGAAAAAAACAUGUAAUUUAUAUUAAAAACUACACACCCUAACUGAUAUCACCCACUAAUACAGGGUUUUUCAAAUAGCCCAAAUUAUAUGUUACAGUUUUGAGAGACGGAGUAUGAUGGAGUUCUCAUUACUCUACUCCCAAAACUAUAACAUAAAACUUACUUGUAUGACCUUGUAUAAGUACUUUACAUAGAACAAUAAGGAAAAAUCAACGUUUUUUAAAAAUAAAUCAAUUGUGGGAUACAGUAAUGCGUUUAAGAAUUUAUUAUAGAGAGGCGGCUAAGAUAAAUUUCCAAAGAAAGAACCGUGGGAAGCACGGCUUACUUAUAAAAUAUACACUAUAACCUAUGUACCCUAACAUACAAUUAAAUAUUUUUUCUUUAAACUCAGCUCAUAGAUGAAUAUUUUUUAUUAUUAAUAUCUUCAUUCAAUUUUAUAAAUCAUUUAUGCCCAACGUUGCAUCACACAAUUAUUUCCAUUUGUCUUUUAUAUCAAUACCUAUUCCUUGUAAUUUCUUACUCCUAAGUUUUCCAAAACUCUAAGUUUUAUCCAGUCUCCUUAAUUUAGGUUUUCCUGGGGGCGUCUCUCAUUGAGGUUUUCAAUUUAGGGUAUUUUUUGAUAUUAAGUUUGAUCCUAUUACACGGCCUAACCAGCUUAAUUUCUUAAUCCAAACUAUCGAAAUUAAUUUUGCCAUCGUGAUGAAGAUAUUUGUAAAAUAAAUAAAAAGAAAACACGUGUAUUAGAUCACAGUUGCGCAAACACUAUAAUUUCAGUGAACGUUGUUUGAUCGAAAAAACAAAAAUGACUGCGUCGAAAAAUAUGCAGAGAAAAGGGAACCUUUAUUCUAAUCUUGUACAACUACGUUUCGUUAUUAUUUUUCGGGCCAUAAAUUUUCCUUAAAAAUUGUCUUUCUAAAACUAUUAGUUUUAGUUAUUUCUUUUCAUCAUCAAAAUAUGUUAUUAGCUAUUUUUAACAGGCAUGUUUUUUAUCACUGAGUUAUUAUAUGCAACUAACAUCAUAUACAUAAAUACGUACAUAUAUAUAUAUAGGAUAGAAUAGGCAACCAUUAAAUAACGCACUUGCGGUUUUUUACGGGCAACAUCGUCGAUUUUUAUCAUCGAGUGUCGUGCACAAAUUUUUGUUUAUAGAAUUCGUUAUUAUUUUACGAUGUUCCAAUUGUUAAAUUGCUAGUAUUUAUACUCAAUUGCGUGUCGAUGUAUAACGCACGUGAUACCGUUGGCGUAUAUGAACCGAGGACCCUUAUAAUGCCUUCGCUUAAAAUGUCUAUUUAUAAUUGGUGUAUUUGAAUGUGAUAUUUAUUUUUUCGAAACAAAAUUAUAUUACCAUAUCGAUAUUAAUUAUUAGGUUUAAUAAUAAUUAAUCUACAACGCCCACCGUGCAAUAGUAGUUGCUGUAACGAUCGUGAAAUUGCAUUAACCGAACUGAAUACGCCAAUAGAGUAUUGCGUUUACAUCGAUGGCUUGAAGGCGGAAUAUUAAAUGAUGACACCCUACGUCACAAUAAAUGACACAUUUUUCAGGGGGCCGUUUGAAGUUUUCAAAAUGUUCAAAUGUAAAACCAACCGUAAUUAAAUAAAUAUAAUUUACUACCUAUAGUUAAACUUUAUAUUUUUUUCUAAAAUAAUACUCUUCAGUAGAAACAGAACGGACGACUUAUAAAAAUGGAAUUAAAUCGUAAUAUGGACAAACUAUCAUUUUUUAUUGGCAUAAUAUACCUACUCUUAUAAUAAUUAAAUGAUAACAAUGUUUUAAUCGUUGUGCGUUUAUUAGUUAUAAUAUCCACCUAACCUACCUGUCCAGACACGUUACAUACGUUCAAAGGAACGCUUGCAAGUUGCAAUGUUAACACCAUAUUUUACCUACAUAUAAUCUAUAUAAUAGCAUGAUUGUACAUCAUAAUAUUUUGUUGAACUUGUUAUUAUCUCAGAUUGUGUAUUCGAAAAUCUGCCGACCAGCUCGCGAGAGCUAUUAAUAAUAUUAUUAUCGUGUAAAAAUAACGCAGUUUUAAAUUUCCGAUAAUACUUCGGACACGUUGGUAUUCGGAAGGAUCGUAAUAUACUAAAAAAAUUCUAUAGACUGUGGAGGUAUUAUGUAAAAUCAAUUUUCAAAAAAAAACAAUGAUACUAUAAGUAUUACGUAUAACUAAAUAACUGUUAUAUUCGGCCUUUAAACCAUCGAUGUAACGUUUUAUUGAAUUAUUAAGCGUACUUAGGGAUUUUUUUUUUUUUUGUUAUAAAUAUAUCUUACGAUAAAUAGCGAUUCGACUAAAUAUAUUAUUGUAAUACCAUGUGAUGAUACCUGAUUAGUGAUUAUAUUAUUUUAUACAUCAUAGGUUACCUAUAGCUAUACGCAUUAUUAUCUAUAGAUCAAUUUGUGUAUCAUAUAUUCAAAUAUAAUAAUGUACGUAUUAUAUUAUCAUCAGAGGCCAUCGUUAUAAUAUAACAUAGCGGUAAAUUCUAUUUUCAAAAUAAAACGAUAAAAUCUCGGACUAUAUAAAUAUUAUUUAGUUCAUCAUGUAGCAAUUAUAAUUUAGCCAUUGGGCGAUUCUCAAAAUUGAAUUCGCUUGUAUUUAAAACUAUACAAAUUAACUUGAGCCCUUAUUCCCUGGUACCAAAGAUAUAAGGAAUUAAUUUUAAAUUAUCUUGACAUCAACCGAAAAGGCAAAUAAAAGAGUAAUGGUGCCGUACUAUAAGUGUACAAGAAAACAAUGAUUAGAUAACACAGAGCUUAUGGAUAAAUAAGAUAAAUCUUUUUCGAUUCAUACGGAUUUUAAUCUAAUUAGAUUAAAUUAAUUUAAUUGAUUCUGAUAAUUAAUUUAUUUAUUUAUUCUGCUAAUUCUUUAAUACACUGUUUUGAACGUCUUUAAUUUUACAAUUUUUUACUUAUACAUUAUAUUAUAUAAUACUGCCAGAUACCAAAUUAUAUUCUUAACAAUAUUAUAACUUCGUUUAUUAAAAAAAAAAAAUGUAUACAAAUACAAAAAGGUAUCUUUCAACUUUCUUCCUAUAGUUUGUUGAUUGUUUUAAAUGUGAUUUUAGAUUAUCAUUGCUUAUCGUAUAAUAAGGCAAGGUUAGACUUCAAUAUCAAUAACCUAAUAAUGCGUGCAUUCAAGAUUCAAAAAUGGCUAUUAACGGAGACAAAACACGAUGAAACACCCUGUAUGGCUAUGGUAUACAAGUUUUAACACGAAGCUCUGGCAUUUGAAAUAAAUUUUAUUCUGUUCAAUGUUUUUAAUUAUUUUUUUGCUAUGAUAAUUACUGAACCCUUACUCGAUGAUUUCUAUAUUUUUAUAUUUUUCGUAAAAACUAAAAAAUUUCAAGUUUUUAAAAAAUGGUUUUUACAGCAUCCAAAAUAGCCAUAUUAUAAAUAUAUUUUAUUAUUGAGGAUUUCGAAAUAAAACUUUGGUGUUCAAAAUAUUUACCUAUAACGAAUCGUAAAUUUUCUAGAAUUUUUUGGAAUUAAACGGUGAUUUAAAUUGUAUUCAUUGUCAUCUACUAAAUAAUAUCAAUCUAUUGACCAAUUUAUCCACAUAAACAACAUUGUUAGUGAUUUUUGUAGACUUCAAAAAAUGGAAGGUUAGUAAUUAUUUAUAACACCAAAAUUGUGUUUUAAAAUAUAUUUAAAAAUUGGCUACCUAAGAUUUUGUAAAAACAAUUUUGAUUUAUUUAAUUUGACGAAAAAUAUAAAUCAUAGAAAUCAUAGCUCUAGAAAUCAUUCUCUAGAAACUAUCACAUGAAAAAAAACCAAAAAAUAUUGAACAGAACAUAAGUUAUUUCAGGUGUCGGAUCUUCGUGUCACACCAUACACAUGCUCGUAUAAUGCGUGUACACCGCAUACCAUAGAAAUUACAAACAUUUAAAAUUUAAGUCUCGACGAUUUAUUGUUGAGGUCCAUAUGUCAACGCUAUGUCGUAUUAAUAGUGGCCUCUUAUAAAAUUCAGAAUAUAAUACAUUAUGUACAUAGAUAUUAUACAUUUAUAGAGGUAUAUAUUUUGUAUUAUAUAAUCACUUGUUAACCUAAUCACUGAAAUAAUCGUUAUUAUAUAAUAUUUUUCAUAAUAUUUAAAGUCUUAAUACUUAUAUUAUUAUAUUAUUACCUAUACAUGUAUACAGAUUAAAUCGAAGUUUGUCAUUAAAAGUUCAAUAUUAACG